rnacentral:rRNA from 1 species
AUGGCUUGUCCUCCUAUCAUCGUUAUUACUCCCGAACAUGAAAUUCUUAAUUUUAAGCAAAGGGAGGGAGAAAAUCUAAAAGAUGCUUGGCAUAGAAUUUGCAAUGCUCAAAAUAGAUCUACUAGGAAGCUUUCUACUUCCGUUCUUCUUCGCAAUUUUUAUGUAGGCAUUACUCCGUGGAAUAGAUGCAUUCUUGAUACCAUUACCAGAGGGAAUUUUUUGGAUAGCCAUACCUUUGAUGCUUAUAAUGCUAUGUUAGAUUUGUUUGGUCCUCCUCCUCUCUUGGUAAAUGGGACUAUUUUGACUCUAGAACAUGUGAUGCAAAGGCUUGAAAUUAUUGAAAAUAAAGUCGCCACCGUUGAGUUAAUUGAAAAUCUAGAAAAAAAGGAUUCAUAA